rnacentral:misc_RNA from 1 species
UACGGAGGGUGCGAGCGUUAAUCGGAAUUACUGGGCGUAAAGCGCGCGUAGGCGGCGAAUCAAGCCGGUUGUGAAAGCCCCGGGCUCAACCUGGGAAUGGCAUCCGGAACUGGUUGGCUAGAGUACAGAAGAGGAAAGUGGAAUUCCACGUGUAGCGGUGAAAUGCGUAGAGAUGUGGAGGAACACCAGUGGCGAAGGCGGCCUUCUGGACUGACACUGACGCUGAGGUGCGAAAGCGUGGGUAGCAAACAGG